GACGAACGCUGGCGGCGCGCCUAACACAUGCAAGUCGAACGAAGUCAAGAGGAGCUUGCUCUUUUUGACUUAGUGGCGAACGGGUGAGUAACGCGUGAGGAACCUGCCUCAAAGAGGGGGACAACAGUUGGAAACGACUGCUAAUACCGCAUAAGCCCACAGCUCCGCAUGGAGCAGAGGGAAAAGGAGCAAUCCGCUUUGAGAUGGCCUCGCGUCCGAUUAGCUAGUUGGUGAGGUAACGGCCCACCAAGGCGACGAUCGGUAGCCGGACUGAGAGGUUGAUCGGCCACAUUGGGACUGAGACACGGCCCAGACUCCUACGGGAGGCAGCAGUGGGGAAUAUUGCACAAUGGGGGAAACCCUGAUGCAGCGACGCCGCGUGGAGGAAGAAGGUCUUCGGAUUGUAAACUCCUGUUGUUGGGGAAGAUAAUGACGGUACC
rnacentral:rRNA from 1 species